rnacentral:rRNA from 1 species
GAUGAACGCUGGCGGCGUGCCUAAUGCAUGCAAGUCGAGCGAACGGACGAGAAGCUUGCUUCUCUGAUGUUAGCGGCGGACGGGUGAGUAACACGUGGAUAACCUACCUAUAAGACUGGGAUAACUUCGGGAAACCGGAGCUAAUACCGGAUAAUAUUUUGAACCGCAUGGUUCAAAAGUGAAAGACGGUCUUGCUGUCACUUAUAGAUGGAUCCGCGCUGCAUUAGCUAGUUGGUAAGGUAACGGCUUACCAAGGCAACGAUGCAUAGCCGACCUGAGAGGGGGAUCGGCCACACUGGAACUGAGACACGGUCCAGACUCCUACGGGAGGCAGCAGUAGGGAAUCUUCCGCAAUGGGCGAAAGCCUGACGGAGCAACGCCGCGUGAGUGAUGAAGGUCUUCGGAUCGUAAAACUCUGUUAUUAGGGAAGAACAUAUGUGUAAGUAACUGUGCACAUCUUGACGGUACCUAAUCAGAAAGCCACGGCUAACUACGU